rnacentral:rRNA from 1 species
UACGAAGGGGGCUAGCGUUGCUCGGAAUCACUGGGCGUAAAGCGCACGUAGGCGGAUUGCUAAGUCAGGGGUGAAAUCCUGGAGCUCAACUCCAGAACUGCCUUUGAUACUGGCAACCUUGAGUCCGGGAGAGGUGAGUGGAACUGCGAGUGUAGAGGUGAAAUUCGUAGAUAUUGGGAAGAACACCGGUGGCGAAGGCGGCGCUCUGGACCGAGACUGACGCUGAGGCGCGAAAGCGUGGGGAGCAAACAGG